rnacentral:lncRNA from 1 species
GGUCUAUGCAGUAUAAGAGUGAAGUUGGUAACUAUGGUAUAUAGGAAACCGUCGUAUGUUCCUGUUAUCAUACCAAGAUGGUCUGAUGACCCUACGUCCUUUAAGAAGGCCGCAUUCCUAUCGUCUUUUAAGAGGGCAGAACUAUAUUCAACCAAUAUCCUUGACCUAGAUCGGGAGAUCAGCUGUGUCUGUGACAUCGGCUGCAGGCAUGGUUGUGGAGGAGGAUUUUUGAGAUGUGUGCUUAGAGAGGUGAGGCAGAGCUGGACAGCCACCCGCCUGAUGAGCCCUGAUCUGGCCAGC